GCGGUGGCCUAAUGGUUAGCGCGUUGGACUAGAGAUCAAGCGGACCGGGUUCGAGCCUUGGCCUGGGCC